rnacentral:rRNA from 1 species
AACGCUGGCGGCGCGCUUAACACAUGCAAGUCGAGCGAGAACCAGGGCUUCGGCCCUGGGGACAGCGGCGAACGGGUGAGUAACACGUGGGUAAUCUGCCCUCGGCACCGGAAUAGCCCGGGGAAACCCGGAUUAAUGCCGGAUGGCCCCUUCACCUCGCGAGGUGUCGGGAAAAGGUAGCUGCGGCCUCUGGCCGAGGAUGAGCCCGCGGCGGAUUAGCUUUGUGGCGGGGUAACGGCCCACCAAGGCGACGAUCCGUAGCUGGUCUGAGAGGACGAUCAGCCACACUGGGACUGAGACACGGCCCAGACUCCUACGGGAGGCAGCAGUGGGGAAUCUUGCGCAAUGGGCGAAAGCCUGACGCAGCGACGCCGCGUGAGGGAAGAAGGCCUUCGGGUUGUAAACCUCUUUCAGGAGGGACGAAGCUGCUCGGGUGAAUAGCCCAGAGGGUGACGGUACCUCUAGAAGAAGCCCCGGCUAACUACGUGCCAGCAGCCGCCGUAA